AUCGAGGACGAGUCCCAAAUAAGACGAAACACGUGUCUUGGAU
rfam:Schistosoma mansoni, Puerto Rico, WGS project CABG01000000 data, contig: 0247